rnacentral:rRNA from 1 species
UACGGGGGGGGCAAGCGUUGUUCGGAAUUAUUGGGCGUAAAGAGCUCGUAGGCGGUUCGGUAAGUCGGGUGUGAAACCUCCAGGCUCAACCUGGAGACGCCACCCGAUACUGCUGUGACUAGAGUCCGGUAGGGGAGCGUGGAAUUCCUGGUGUAGCGGUGAAAUGCGCAGAUAUCAGGAGGAACACCAGCGGCGAAGGCGGCGCUCUGGGCCGGAACUGACGCUGAGGAGCGAAAGCGUGGGGAGCAAACAGG